rnacentral:rRNA from 1 species
UACGUAGGGAGCAAGCGUUGUCCGGAAUCAUUGGGCGUAAAGCGCGUGUAGGCGGUCCGGUAAGUCCGCUGCGAAAGUCGGGGGGCUCAACCCUCGGAUGCCGGUGGAUACUGUCGGGCUUGAGGUACGGAAGAGGCGAGUGGAAUUCCUGGUGUAGCGGUGAAAUGCGCAGAUAUCAGGAGGAACACCAAUUGCGAAGGCAGCUCGCUGGGACGUUAACUGACGCUGAGACGCGAAAGCGUGGGGAGCAAACAGG